rnacentral:rRNA from 1 species
AAUGAACGUUGGCGGCGUGGAUUAGGCAUGCAAGUCGAACGAGAAGUUUCCCUUCGGGGAGAUGGACAGUGGCGAACGGCGUAGUAAGAGAUAGGUAACGUGCCCCAAGGUCCGGGAUAGCCGCGGGAAACUGCGGGUAAUACCGGAUGAUCUCCUUGAAUCUAGUGAUUUUAGGAGCAAAGGUGAGAUUCCGUCUUGGGAGCGGCUUAUUGGGUAUUAGCUAGUUGGUAGGUAACGGCCUACCAAGGCUGCGAUGCCUAGGGGUGUUAGCGCAUGGCCCCCACGACUGGGACUGAGAACUGCCCAGACACCUACGGGAGGCAG